GUGUGUGUGUGUGUGUGUGUGUGUGUGUGUGUGUAAAUAAUGUAUAUAUAAAGAUUUAUAUAUACAUAAUUUACAUAUACAUUAGGUUUGAAGCAGAGGCAGUUGUUCCAUCUUGUUCGAAAAAAGAUGGAUGGUUAUUUUGGUCAACUUGUGUUCAUGCAAUGAAAGCUACCUAUAAUAAUUUUUCAAUCAUUGACUCAUGCAACAAACUUAGACUUAAAAGAGUUAAAGUAACUGGAGAUAAAGAAGUAUGUGCACGAUUUAAUUUCACAACUAAAGAGGACUCCAAAGAAGAAUUAAAGUUCUGGUGGAUUAAAGAUCGAGGAAUGAUUUGGUUUUAACUGGUUUGCAUCUUAUGAACGAAGUACAUAAUAUGAUUUAAAUUAAUGAUUUAUAGUUACACCUAUUGAAAUUUUGUAUCUCAAUGAUAUCCUGGCUUAUUGAUACGAUAUCCUGUAAAUCCACUCACACACAUAAAUUUUACUCACACAUGUAAAUUCUGUAAAUUCACUCACACACAU